CCUACGGGUGGCAGCAGUGAGGAAUAUUGGUCAAUGGACGGAAGUCUGAACCAGCCAUGCCGCGUGCAGGAAGACGGCUCUAUGAGUUGUAAACUGCUUUUGUACAAGGGUAAACCUGAAUACGUGUAUUCAGCUGAAAGUACUGUACGAAUAAGGAUCGGCUAACUCCGUGCCAGCAGCCGCGGUAAUACGGAGGAUCCAAGCGUUAUCCGGAUUUAUUGGGUUUAAAGGGUGCGUAGGCGGAUUGAUAAGUUAGAGGUGAAAUGUCCGAGCUUAACUCGGGAACUGCCUUUAAUACUGUUGGUCUAGAGAGUAGAUGCGGUAGGCGGAAUGUAUGGUGGAGCGGUGAAAUGCUUAGAGAUCAUACAGAACACCGAUUGCGAAGGCAGCUUACCAAUCUAUAUCUGACGUUGAGGCACGAAAGCGUGGGGAGCAAACAGGAUUAGAUACCCGGGUAGUC
rnacentral:rRNA from 1 species